rnacentral:other from 1 species
UCAAUUCUUCUGUGUUUGUAGUAGACUUUUAAAUACUACCUCGACCCCAUACUUUUUGGGAUUCCAAUAUUUUUUAGGACUGUGGUCCUAAAGUGAGGACUCCCCCCUGGAUUUCCAGGAGUAAGUAUUCAAGUUUGCCACGGCAUGGAGGAUUUCUA